UUCCACAAUGAAUUCCACAAA
rnacentral:piRNA from 1 species